rnacentral:rRNA from 1 species
AUUGAACGCUGGCGGCAUGCCUUACACAUGCAAGUCGAACGGUAACAGGUCUUCGGAUGCUGACGAGUGGCGAACGGGUGAGUAAUACAUCGGAACGUGCCCAGACGUGGGGGAUAACGAGGCGAAAGCUUUGCUAAUACCGCAUACGAUCUAAGGAUGAAAGCAGGGGACAGCAAGGCCUUGUGCGUUUGGAGCGGCCGAUGGCAGAUUAGGUAGUUGGUGGGAUAAAAGCUUACCAAGCCGACGAUCUGUAGCUGGUCUGAGAGGACGACCAGCCACACUGGGACUGAGACACGGCCCAGACUCCUACGGGAGGCAGCAGUGGGGAAUGUUGGACAAUGGGCGAAAGCCUGAUCCAGCAAUGCCGCGUGCAGGAUGAAGGCCUUCGGGUUGUAAACUGCUUUUGUACGGAACGAAAAGGCUCUGGCUAAUACCUGGGGCACAUGACGGUACCGUAAGAAUAAGCACCGGCUAACUACGUG